GACGAACGCUGGCGGCGUGCUUAACACAUGCAAGUCGAGCGACCGGCCCGGGGCUUGCCCCGGGUACGGAGCGGCGAACGGGUGAGUAACACGUGGGCAACCUGCCCCAGUCUCUGGAAUAACUCCGGGAAACCGGAGCUAAUGCCGGAUACUCUCGGGUCCUCGCAUGGGGGUUCGAGGAAAGCUCAGACGGACUGGGAUGGGCCCGCGGCCUAUCAGCUUGUUGGCGGGGUAACGGCCCACCAAGGCGACGACGGGUAGCUGGCGUGAGAGCGUGACCAGCCACACUGGGACUGAGACACGGCCCAGACUCCUACGGGAGGCAGCAGUGGGGAAUAUUGCGCAAUGGGCGAAAGCCUGACGCAGCGACGCCGCGUGUGGGAUGACGGCCU
rnacentral:rRNA from 1 species